UUCAAAACUCUUCUCCAUUUUCUCUGCAUGGAGUCUGAAGUUCUGUCCUCUGAAGUUACUAUGUGUUAAAGCAUUAGCUACAGCAGUGUUAAAUAAAUACAUAACCUGGAAAAAAUAGCACAUGACGCCAUUCAUGCUGAUAAACAGGUGAACCCCCAAAUUGUUUUACCAGAUUAGGCACUGGGCACUACGGAAAACCGCAAGAAUAAGACCCUUACUUAAUGGUCCUGAGCUGGUAAACUUCAAACUAAAAAAGCAAAGAAUGGGGUUUGCUAUAGCCUGAAUGUUUGUGUCCCCCCCAAAAUUCAUAAACUGAAAUCCUCACCCCCAAGAUAAUGGUAUUAGGAGGUAGAGCGUUUUGAAGGUGAUGAAGUCAUGAGGGUGGAGACCUUAUGAAUGGUACUGGUGCCUUUAUAAAGGCCGCAGAGAGAUCCUUAGAACUUUCCACCACAUGAGGUUACAUCAGGCUCUCAUCAGACACUGAAUUGGCCAGCUCCUUGAGCUUGGAUUUCCCAGCCGUGAGAACUGUCUAAGAGAAAUGAAAGAAGAGGGUGAAGAAGCCCCCUCCACACCACCAUCUAUUUCCUCUGUUGCUAACAGUUAAAAAGCGAACAACAACAACAACAAAACAACAACAACAACAACAACAACAAAAACUUAGAAAACAUCAAUCAAGUUAUCUGUUGCUUUUGGGGCAGAAGUAUAAGAAAAAUGCUCUGACACUGUGUCUUGUAUUAGAAUGGAUAAUGGAAAGACAGAAACCCUGUCAGGAACAACAGCUAGAGGCUGGACAAAUGGAAUGGAUCAGAUCAAUUUCCUGUAUUCUCAGAAGAAAAAGAAAAUAACAGAAGUGAUAUGAAGUGGCCAAGGCCAAGAAACUCCCCCCAAAGUUUACACCAUGAAACAGCCUUACGUGACUACACCAUCUCUACCCCAUCCCACAGAGCUUUACCAAGAUGACAGCUUAUCACAUGGAAUCACUUAGAAAUGUAAGAGCUGGGAAGGACUGUUCAAGGUUCGUUUUAUAUUUUCUGUGUCAAAAAUACUGCUUGUAACAAAGUAGAUGCUCAAUAAACAUUUUUGAAUGAAUAAACUGAGGAAUAAAUGAAUCUAUCUUACUCCCUUAUUUUACAGAAACUGGAGUAUUUCAAGAUCACAUAGCUCACUGGAGAAAGCUAAAACAAAAACUCAAUUUAUAAGCUCUCCCUUGCCCAAGGCCAUUGUUCCCUAGUGGCGGGGAGCGUGGAGGACAUGGAUGACAUUCACCCAACAGACCUUCUUUGUCUACCCAUCUCCAGAUGAGCUUGGUAUUGUGCUCAGAGAAAGUGUGCAACUGCCCCGCCUCCCAGAAGAUAAUUCAUCUGAAGCUUAGAGUCUAAGCCAGUGCUACCAGUCUGAUUUUGGUGGCCAGUGACUGGUUUAGGAGCAGACUCUGACUCAGAACUUUGGCCAAUGGAGAAAGGGACAUCUGCUCGGGAGAAGGCCUUCUGGGAGAUAUUUUCCUAUAUAUUAUGAUUAAAAGUCCACUCCUCAUUCUUUGA